rnacentral:rRNA from 1 species
AUUGAACGCUGGCGGCAGGCUUAACACAUGCAAGUCGAACGAGUGGCGGACGGGUGAGUAAUGCUUGGGAAUCUUGCUUAUGGCGGGGGAUAACGACUGGAAACUGUCGCUAAUACCGCGUACCAUAGGAUGCGCCCACGUGGGAUUAGGUAUUUGGUGGGGUAAUGACGUACCAUGCCGAAGAUCUCUAGCUGGUCUGAGAGGAUGACAGGCCAUACCGGGACUGAGAGCGGGCCCGGACUCCUACGGAAGGCAGCAGUGGGGAAGAUUGCGCAAUAUGGGCAACCCUGACGCAGCCAUGCCGCGUGAAUGAAGAAGGCCUUCGGGUUGUAAAGGUCUGUCAGUGACGAGGCGUUAUUCACAGAAGAAACACCGGCUAACUCCGUGCCAGCACAGGCGGGAAUUC